AUGGCGAGGAUGCAAACAGCAGCAGCACCGGUGGCGAGUGAAGCCGGCCUCCGGGCUUUGUGUUGCGAUGCAACACCAGUGGCCGGUGUGCCCAUAGCAAGCAGCACACAACUCCUUCCUACCGGCGGCAAAUGGUCGUGCGCCCAUGGUGAGCAGCACACAGCUCGUGGUCGUGUCGCCCCUGGCUGGCACCACCAACCCCUAUUUGGGCGAGGUGCAGCAGGCGGUGGUCGUCGCCGUCCCUCUCGAUUUGCAGCACCGGCGGCUGGUGGUCGGCGUCGCCAUGGGCACCACCUCCCUCUCGGAUGCUACGGACGAGGAGACAAGGAGAGGGAAAAAGACGAGAGGAAGAACAAGUGGACGAGCAGCCGCGUGAAAAGAGAUAAGGCUCGUGGGGGAAGCGGUGGACUCGCGGGGGCAGGGGACACGUGUCGCGCAGAGGACCAGGUUUACGCGACGCUGUUUUCAUCCAGUUAA
rnacentral:rRNA from 1 species